GGAAACCGGAGCUAAUACCGGAUAAUAUAUUGAACCGCAUGGUUCAAUAGUUAAAGACGGUUUUGCUGUCACUUAUAGAUGGAUCCGCGCCGCAUUAGCUAGUUGGUAAGGUAACGGCUUACCAAGGCAACGAUGCGUAGCCGACCUGAGAGGGUGAUCGGCCACACUGGAACUGAGACACGGUCCAG
rnacentral:rRNA from 1 species